AGAGUUUGAUCCUGGCUCAGAACGAACGCUGGCGGCAGGCUUCAUACAUGCAAGUCGAACGCGAAAGCUCCUUCGGGAGCAAGUAGAGUGGCGAACGGGUGAGUAACAGGUGGAUAAUCUACCUUCCGGUGGGGGACAACAGCUGGAAACGGCUGCUAAUACCGCAUACGUUUGUUUCCCAUAAGGGAAAUAAGGAAAGGGGCAAUUGCUCCGCCGGAUGAUGGGUCCGCCUCCCAUUAGCUUGUUGGUAGGGUAACGGCCUACCAAGGCAACGAUGGGUAGCCGAGCUGAGAGGUUGAUCGGCCACACUGGAACUGAGACACGGUCCAGACACCUACGGGUGGCAGCAGUAGGGAAUAUUGCGCAAUGAACGAAAGUUUGACGCAGCCAUGCCGCGUGGAUGAUGAAGGCCUUCGGGUCGUAAAGUCCUUUUCUGAGGGAAGAACAAGCAGGGGAGUGGAAAGCCCUUGCCCUGACGGUACCUCAGGAAUAAGCAACGGCUAACUCCGUGCCAGCAGCCGCGGUAAUACGGAGGUUGCAAGCGUUGUUCGGAAUUACUGGGCGUAAAGGGAGCGCAGGCGGCCAAGUCAGUCUAAAGUGAAAGUCCGGGGCUCAACCCCGGAAGGGCUUUGGAUACUGCUUGGCUUGAGUACGUGAGAGGUGAGCGGAAUUUCAGGUGAAGCGGUGAAAUGCGUAGAU
rnacentral:rRNA from 1 species